rnacentral:rRNA from 1 species
AGAGAUGCACUGGGUUUAAAGGGUGCGCAGGCGGUUUUGUAAGACAGAGGUGAAAUCCCCGGGCUCAACCUGGGAACUGCCUUUGUGACUGCAAGGCUGGAGUGCGGCAGAGGGGGAUGGAAUUCCGCGUGUAGCAGUGAAAUGCGUAGAUAUGCGGAGGAACACCGAUGGCGAAGGUAAUCCCCUGGGCCUGCACUGACGCUCAUGCACGAAAGCGUGGGGAGCAAACA